rnacentral:rRNA from 1 species
UACGUAGGGGGCGAGCGUUGUCCGGAGUUACUGGGCGUAAAGGGCGCGUAGGCGGCGCAUCAAGUCAGGCGUGAAAGCCCUGGGCUCAACCCGGGAAUUGCGCUUGAGACUGGUGUGCUUGAGUACGGGAGAGGAUAGUGGAAUUCCCAGUGUAGAGGUGAAAUUCGUAGAUAUUGGGAAGAACACCGGUGGCGAAGGCGGCUAUCUGGACCGUAACUGACGCUGAGGCGCGAAAGCGUGGGGAGCAAACAGG